rfam:Zootermopsis nevadensis contig35656, whole genome shotgun sequence.
GCCACGGUGGUCUAGCGGUUAGAACGCUGGCCUUGUAAUCCUGGGGUCCCGGGUUCGAUUCCCAGCAGUGCCC